GGCGCCUGCUCCGCGGGAAUUUUCAAACUCUCGGAGGAGGAGGUGGGGGGAGGGUAAGGGAGGAAAGGGAAGCCCGCUGGGGAAGGGCCGGGCAUUUACAUAAAACAGGAUCUCCCCGCCUCCGAAGCUCUGACGGGGUCGGGGGUCGAGGCGGGGGCGGAGGGUGUGUGUAUGGAAACUACGAGUCCCGCCAUGCCUUGCGCGCCACACGCCUGCGGCGGCCGGGCGCGCGGGCCCGCGCGGAGUCGGGAGUGGUAGUCUUUUUGCCCGCGGUCCGCGGCGCCGGCCGGGACCCGCCCUCCUCGCCGCCCCGCGGGCGGGGGGAAGGAGCGCCGCUGUGGCGGGAGAGUCGUCGCCACGUUAGCAGGUGGCCCCGCUUGCUAGCGGCCGCGUGACCGUCUUUCCCCCAUGGGAGGCGCCUCAGCUUGUGGUGGUUUUCGUGCCCAAACACGUUUCAAGCGAUUAGAUGCCUACAGGAUGGUUUCUGUAUGGCUAUCUAAAAUCUGAACCAACCCUACCUGUCCUGCCUGAUUUCCCUCUGUAGCUGUGAGGAUCCUUUCUUCACUCUGAUGGGGGCAAAAGGCAAACUGAGGGCAAAGCGGGCCCUGACACUGCACAACCCACCCCCCUUGAGGGGGGAUUCCUCAAGUACCAGUAACCGCUAAGAACGAAGCAAAGGAAGAACGAAUGGUCAACCGAUAAAGAUCACAGUCAUGUAGGGCUUGAAACUCCGCUACAGUCUUAAUGAUUUACAAGGAAAACACAAUCUUAAUAACAGACCUCCAGGAACCUUGGACUCAAUCUCCUGGAGCCCUAGUCACCUCCACCUCCAUAGGGUAGAAAACCCUGUAUGAUCCGUCACUCCUGACAGUCACAACGCGACUCUGCCCACGGAUCUUCUCCCCGUGCCAUAAUAAAAACAUCUUUCCUCGCUG